ensembl:lncRNA
AAAUCUCUGUUCUUGGAUCCUCAGCCCCAGGGGGAAAUGGGGGGGACUGUGGUCCCAAAAAUGAGAAACUGAACUGUUGUCUUUGGUCCUUGGCAAAGCAUCCUUGAAAAGAAACCCUAUGAGCGGUCUGUCCAUGCAUGGUGGUGAGGGCACUGUGCAUGGAAAGGAGAGUGUCACCAUGGCAGAUUUUCUCUGGGCAGUGCCAUGUGUGACAUGGAAACACAAGAAUUGGCAGCUGUGUUUCUUGGGGGGUCUGUGGAACAGGAGACUCCUCUCUCCCUUGAUGGACUGCGUAUUGAUUAUCUGAAGGGUGGGAACUUGAGUGAGGGUCUGAACUGUGUCUCACUGUGGUUUGUUGGAAUUGUGGUGGGGAGGAGGAAUGUUUUGGAAGGUUUUCAUUCUGGAUUUAGUGUGUGUGUGUUUUUCAUAGCAGUAGUUUAAUAAAGUUUUUUUCCUUUGUCAUUAAGCUUGGGCCUGCUCUGCUGUGUUCCUGAUAGCAUCUCACAGCAUUUAUUUGGGAAGAUGCAUUUUCAUGGGGGCACUGGCAUUGUGCCAGUGUCAAACCAUGACAACAUUCUUCAUUGUCCAGAAUCUCAGGAGGUGGUCAAUGACUCAGAGCCACAGGCCCCUAAACAUGGAAAAGGAAACAGUAGUUUCUUUGGAAUAUGCAUCAAAUCCAAGUUUCAGGGCAAGAUCGGGAUAAGUGUGUGGUGCUGGUACAAUUUCUCCUUCCAAAACCUAGGGGGAAAGCUUUUUGCUAAGAUUUAGAUGACUAGAGACUCCAGAGCUGUCCAAAGGGAAGUGCUGCUCCCCGGUGUAUUUCGGCAGAAGCAGCCCUCUGGAGCGUACAGCUGCCGCUCCAGUCGUCUGUGCGUGAAGUAGUCGCUUUUCGCCACUGGGAGCCCAAGAGCGCGGUAGCUGGUAAGAGGCGAAGAACGAAACUGCAAAGAAGUGGGCAUGUGUGCUCAGCCUUCAGACUGCUAGACAACAGUGACUGCAUCUUUCCUGCCUCUUCAAUUCACUGUUAGCAUGCGUAUAGAAGGCAUUCCAGGACAUCUUUCCUGGGUUUUUACUCCAUCCUAAUACAGCCCUCCUCGGAAAUUCUUGCUCGUCCCCUGAGGCUGUGAGAUGCAGAGAACUUGAUGGCAGCUGCAGGAACGAAGGGCCGCAGUGAGUUUGUCAAGAAGCAAAACCUAGCCAGCAGCUUGUUCGUGAGAAUGAUCAGCUGCUGGAUUUUUGCAAUUGCCUUUACAAUUCUGCCUACGCAGAGAAGCCCAGUGGUUUGCUGCUUCAUUCUUUUGCUUGUGUGAAUUGCACAGUACUGAAGCUGAGCCAGGCUAAUCAGCUUUGCCGCUUUUUAGCAUCUGUGCUCCACCCAUGGAAAAAGCUGCUUUUAAGGGGAGGCUGGAAUAAUGGAAGAAUCCCAGGCCCUCCUAGCAUGUUCCCACUCACUCCCAGUUGCCCCCAGUUCGGUCCCAGUUCUCUGCUGCACGGUCCCGAUUGUUCCCAAUGUGGUUCCAGUCCCCCCCAGUAUGGUUACAAAUGCUACCCGUAGAUCCCAAUUGCCCCCAGCAUGUCUAUAAUCAUUUCCAGGCACUACCAGUGGCUCCAGUAAGGUGUUAGUUAUCCCAGUAUGAUCCCCCAGUCAUGGCCAGAAUAUCCCAGUUGCCUGAAGCAUGCAUCCAGUCAUUCCCAGAUCCUGCAACUGGCGUGCAGCAUGAUCCCAGUUUCUCUCAGUUGCUCCAAGUAGCCCAAAGUAUGAGCCCAGUUGUUGCCCUGAUUUUUAAAAUUGUUGAGUUUUCUUUUAUAGUUCUUUGGAAAGUUGUAAAGUUCUCAUGAAACUUAUUUAGCCUUCUGAUAAGAUUUUCAUAUUUGAGAGUCAGAGGUCCCACACCCUUUCAUGUAGAAAUAGAAUAGUUUGCAUCUUUCUCUAUGAGUGGAGAGAAAUGAUUGAAUGGUCUUUGGACCAGUGUGGUUGGAGAGGUAGUAAUUCCAUCCUCCAAUCCACAGUCAACUUUGGAAUUCUAGAAAUACCAGAUGUUGGAAUAAAACUGACUCUUUUUCUCUUUUGAACGUCCCAAGCUGCUGUCCCUCCUUUCUUGUCCAAUAGCGACAUCUGUUGGCACCGGGUGUGAAUGACACCUGUGGGUGACAUCUUGAUUAACCCUCUCUCUCCCGGCCCUGACUGCAGCCCUUGUGGGCAUGUCUGCUUCUAUGGGGCCUGGUGGCAGCUGUGAACAGAGGCAGCCUAGAGGAGCAGAGCCCUGUGUCCCCCCAGGAGCCCAAAGCGGGUGGCACAGAAAGGGCGGGAGCGCUGCCAUUGGCAGGACACUCAACAGCCUGGAGAGGGGAAGGGGGGGGACUCCUUGGAGUCCCUGCAGCCCAAAGCAGAGAAGAAGGGGAAGCCCAAAAAUCCCUGGCAUCCCUAAACAGGGAGACGCAAGAGAGGGGAGCUUUUUGCAUUCUUGGGACUUCCAGCAGCCUGGGGAGGGCAGGGACCAAGGAGCAGGGAGAUCCUGAGUAUAUGUGUGACCCCCAGCAGCUGGGACAGGGGGAAGCCCAAACACCAAAGGGGAGGGACCAGGGAUGGAGAACUCCGGGGAGGCUUUUCCAGGGCUGAAUCUUGGUAUUCGGGAGGUUUUAGUGACCCCAGAUGGCCGGUGACUUCCAGAGAUGGACUUGGGCAGAGGGACCUUCCAAGUCAACGUGCUUAUCCCUUCUUUUCCCCAAACCAGGAUUUCCCAUUCCCAAGCCCUUGGAGGCUGCGAGGAAGAGGAAGAUGCCCCGGGACACCCAGGCAGGAGCUGAGGAUGGAGACCAGAGAGGACAAAUCCACAUGGCAGAACCUUCUGGAAGAGGCCAUUUUGAGAGGCUCCACAGCACAGGAGCCAACGGGGCGGAAAAGCCCUGGAGAUCCUGCACAAGGAGGGGCUGCAAAGGCAGAUUGUGGGGAUCUCAGGAGGAAAGACCCACUGUCCUGGUUUAGGGCAAAUUUGGGAGAAAACCUCCAGGAGGAGCCCCCCCUGCCCCAGACAGCAAACCCCCACAGGCCCUUCCCCAACCUGGUUCAGGAAGAAUUUCCUUGGAGAGAAGUGGAAAACAAAAACCCUGUUUUUUAACAGACAGAAACAGUCCCCAGCACCAAAAAUGAACAAUAUCAGAGUACAAAAACCCUUUCACCGCUCUGAAGAGAUGACAAAUUCAGAAAGUCUCUCAUGGGAGUGGUCACUCAGUUCUCUGUCUCUUGCACUGGGGAUGGCUGCUGCAGGUCACAAAAUGCAGGCUGUUGGUGUCUCUUG